CAGCCUCCAUGUGCUUUUCUUACAAUAUGAUGUUCCUUCCUCUUUUCAGAUGCAGGAGCUACAUUCACUCCCCUUGGGUGGAACUUUAUAACUACAUCAACCAAUAGAAUAUGAUGGAGGGGAUGGUGUAUGAUUUCCAAGGCUAAGUCAUACAAACUACUGCAGCUGUUACCUUGGUCUCUGGUACUGCUUGUUCUGGUAGAAGCCCGACACCAUAAUUGGGAGGCAAUGAAGGCACGUCAGGAGAAGCCCAUGUGAUGAAGAAUCAAGGCUCCCAGCUUGGCCAGCAUCAACUUGCCAGCCAUGAAUAUUUUCUCUGCCUAGAAGAUAGUUUGAUUCUUCCCUUAAGUACUGAAGGAAACCAUUUUACAGUCCACAAGGAAACUAGAAGCCCAGAAGACCUCCAGGAAGCUACUUUGUGGUAGUGCUAACUCCACACCUCAUACUUCUUCGGCUUCACGGCAUGAGCUACACAGGUGCUGCCCUGAGAGGUGCUCACAGAGAGAGGUCAGGACAAUAAGAAAAUUAGAAGCAACAGUAUAAAAGAGAAAGCAAUAGACUGGUGAGAAUAAUAGAAAAAUAAACUGGAAAAAACUCACCAACACUGUUCAACCAAAUAGGAGGCAAGGAAAAAAGAAGAGAAGGUGAUGUUGACAGUUUUACUUCAAGUGUCUGAGCACACGGUGAAAAGGGAAAUGCAAGAAGUGAAAAUUUAAGGGGAAAUUUAUGAGUUCUGCUUUCGGCAUGUUGGGUGCCUUCGGUACAUAUAUGUGGAAAUAUUUGGUAGGAAAAUAAAAA